GUCAGGUAGGGAAGAUAGAAAUGUAUCCUCAGCGAGGUAAAAGGUAAGAAUAAGUCAGGUAGGGGAAGAAAGAAAUGUAUCCUCAGCGAGGUAAAAGGUAAGAAUAAGUCAGGUAGGGGAAGAAAGAAAUGUAUCCUCAGCGAGGUAAAAGGUAAGAAUAAGUCAGGUAGGGGAAGAAAGAAAUGUAUCCUCAGCGAGGUAAAAGGUAAGAAUAAGUCAGGUAGGGGAAGAAAGAAAUGUAUCCUCAGCGAGGUAAAAGGUAAGAAUAAGUCAGGUAGGGGAAGAAAGAAAUGUAUCCUCAGCGAGGUAAAAGGUAAGAAUAAGUCAGGUAGGGGAAGAAAGAAAUGUGUCCUCAGCGAGGUAAAAGGUAAGAAUAAGUCAGGUAGGGGAAGAAAGAAAUGUAUCCUCAGCGAGGUAAAAGGUAAGAAUAAGUCAGGUAGGGGAAGAAAGAAAUGUAUCCUCAGCGAGGUAAAAGGUAAGAAUAAGUCAGUUAGGGGAAGAAAGAAAUGUAUCCUCAGCGAGGUAAAAGGUAAGAAUAAGUCAGGUAGGGUAAGAAAGAAAUGUAUCCUCAGCGAGGUAAAAUGUAAGAAUAAGUCAGGUAGGGGAAGAAAGAAAUGUAUCCUCAGCGAGGUAAAAGGUAAGAAUAAAUCAGGUAGGGGAGAAAGAAAUGUAUCCUCAGCGAGGUAAGAAUAAGUCAGGUAGGGGAAGAUAGAAAUGUAUCCUCAUUGAGGUAAAAGGUAAGAAUAAGUCAGGUAGGGGAAGAAAGAAAUGUAUCCUCAGCGAGGUAAAAGGUAAGAAUAAGUCAGGUAGGGGAAGAAAGAAAUGUAUCCUCAGCGAGGUAAAAGGUAAGAAUAAGUCAGGUAGGGGAAGAAAGAAAUAUAUCCAGCGAGGUAAAAGGUAAGAAUAAGUCAGGUAGGGGAAGAAAGAAAUGUAUCCUCAGCGAGGUAAAAGGUAAGAAUAAGUCAGGUAGGGGAAGAAAGAAAUGUAUCCUCAGCGAGGUAAAAGGUAAGAAUAAGUCAGGUAGGGGAAGAAAGAAAUAUAUCCUCAGCGAGGUAAAAGGUAAGAAUAAGUCAGGUAGGGGAAGAAAGAAAUGUAUCCUCAGCGAGGUAAAAGGUAAGAAUAAUUCAGGUAGGGGAAGAAAGAAAUGUAUCCUCAGCGAGGUAAAUAAGAAUAAUUCAGGUAGGGGAAGAAAGAAAUGUAUCCUCAGCGAGGUAAAUAAGAAUAAGUCAUGUAGGGGAAGAAAGAAAUGUAUCCUCAGCUAGGUAAAAGGUAAGAAUAAGUCAGGUAGGGGAGAAAGAAAUGUAUCCUCAGUGAGGUAAAAGGUAAGAAUAAGUCAGGUAGGGGAAAAAGAAAUGUAUCCUCAGCGAGAUAAAAGGUAAGAAUAAGUCAGGUAGGGGAAGAAAGAAAUGUAUCCUCAGCGAGGUUAAAGGUAAGAAUAAGUCAGGUAGGGGAAGAAAGAAAUGUAUCCUCAGCGAGGUAAAAGGUAAGAAUAAGUCAGGUAGGGGAAGAAAGAAAUAUAUCCUCAGCGAGGUAAAAGGUAAGAAUAAGUCAGGUAGGGGAAGAAAGAAAUGUAUCCUCAGCGAGGUAAAAUGUAAGAAUAAGUCAGGUAGGGGAAGAAAGAAAUGUAUCCUCAGCGAGGUAAAAGGUAAGAAUAAAUCAGGUAGGGGAGAAAGAAAUGUAUCCUCAGCGAGGUAAGAAUAAGUCAGGUAGGGGAAGAUAGAAAUGUAUCCUCAUUGAGGUAAAAGGUAAGAAUAAGUCAGGUAGGGGAAGAAAGAAAUGUAUCCUCAGCGAGGUAAAAGGUAAGAAUAAGUCAGGUAGGGGAAGAAAGAAAGAAAUGUAUCCUCAGCGAGGUAAAAGGUAAGAAUAAGUCAGGUAGGGGAAGAAAGAAAUAUAUCCAGCGAGGUAAAAGGUAAGAAUAAGUCAGGUAGGGGAAGAAAGAAAUGUAUCCUCAGCGAGGUAAAAGGUAAGAAUAAGUCAGGUAGGGGAAGAAAGAAAUGUAUCCUCAGCGAGGUAAAAGGUAAGAAUAAGUCAGGUAGGGGAAGAAAGAAAUAUAUCCUCAGCGAGGUAAAAGGUAAGAAUAAGUCAGGUAGGGGAAGAAAGAAAUGUAUCCUCAGCGAGGUAAAAGGUAAGAAUAAUUCAGGUAGGGGAAGAAAGAAAUGUAUCCUCAGCAAGGUAAAUAAGAAUAAUUCAGGUAGGGGAAGAAAGAAAUGUAUCCUCAGCGAGGUAAAUAAGAAUAAGUCAUGUAGGGGAAGAAAGAAAUGUAUCCUCAGCUAGGUAAAAGGUAAGAAUAAGUCAGGUAGGGGAGAAAGAAAUGUAUCCUCAGUGAGGUAAAAGGUAAGAAUAAGUCAGGUAGGGGAAAAAGAAAUGUAUCCUCAGCGAGAUAAAAGGUAAGAAUAAGUCAGGUAGGGGAAGAAAGAAAUGUAUCCUCAGCGAGGUUAAAGGUAAGAAUAAGUCAGGUAGGGGAAGAAAGAAAUGUAUCCUCAGUGAGGUAAAAGGUAAGAAUAAGUCAGGUAGGGGAAGAAAGAAAUAUAUCCUCAGCGAGGUAAAAGGUAAGAAUAAGUCAGGUAGGGGAAGAAAGAAAUGUAUCCUCAGCGAGGUAAAAGGUAAGAAUAAUUCAGGUAGUGGAAGAAAGAAAUGUAUCCUCAGCGAGGUAAAUAAGAAUAAGUCAGGUAGCGGAAGAAAGAAAUGUAUCCUCAGCUAGGUAAAAUGUAAGAAUAAGUCAGGUAGGGGAGAAAGAAAUGUAUCCUCAGCGAGGUAAAAGUAAAGAAUAAGUCACGUACGGGAAGAAAGAAAUGUAUCCUCAGCGAGGUUAAAGGUAAGAAUAAGUCAGGUAGGGGAAGAAAGAAAUGUAUCCUCAGCGAGGUAAAAGGUAAGAAUAAGUCAGGUAGGGGAAGAAAGAAAUGUAUCCUCAGCGAGGUAAAAGGUAAGAAUAAGUCAGGUAGGGGAAGAAAGAAAUGUAUCCUCAGCGAGGUAAAAGGUAAGAAUAAGUCAGGUAGGGGAAGAAAGAAAUGUAUCCUCAGCGAGGUAAAAGGUAAGAAUAAGUCAGGUAGGGGAAGAAAGAAAUGUAUCCUCAGCGAGGUAAAAGGUAAGAAUAAGUCAGGUAGGGGAAGAAAGAAAUAUAUCCUCAGUGAGGUAAAAGGUAAGAAUAAGUCAGGUAGGGGAAAAAAGAAUUGUUCAGAAAAUAAUGUUAAGUCAAACCAAAGGGAGAAGUGUACAGAAAGGUUGGGACCUUCACUUACAGAGGGAACAACCAAGAGUCAGCUUGCCAUCUCACUCCUUCCUUCUGUACUUCUGAGCACACCCCCCCAACUAUUCAUUCACUCUUCAGAAUGCUUCCUGUUCAUUGAAAGAGAAAGUUUGAGGACACUUAGCGUUUUUUUGUGAAAAAUGCUCAACAUUGGGCAAGAUCACAGAGUCUUGAACAUCUUUCUCCGAAGAUGAAAGUUGCAGUUUCAGAAAAAUCCCAAGAUGCAUUCCGCUGGUCCUAAGGGACUUGUUAGAUCUUAUACUUGCUGACUUAAGAUAUAUGGAAUGAUAAAGUUCUAUGGAGAAAGUGCCCUCUGGAGAGGAAGGUGCCGGGUUGUAUUCUAGACUUUUCCUAGUACCACGAAAAGAAGUGGCAUGGUUACCUGUACUAUAAUUAACUAAACAAGAUUCUCAUUGUUACAGAAUUCAGAAAGCUUAUUCUUGAAAGCCUUCUGUCAUUGCUUCUACUUCGGGUGCUCCUGGUCAACAUAGACCUAAAAUAUGUCUGCCGUUACAUCCCCAUAGCCAAAAAACAUGAAAGUUCCUCGGGUUUAUAGGAACACUUCCAGUUCACUUAGCACCCAGAAUCUUA